AUACGGAGGGUGCAAGCGUUACUCGGAAUCACUGGGCGUAAAGGACGCGUAGGCGGGUUGGUAAGUCAGGUGAGAAAUCCUACAGCUUAACUGUAGAACUGCACUUGAAACUACCAACCUAGAGUAUGGGAGGGGGAGAUGGAAUUAGUGGUGUAGGGGUAAAAUCCGUAGAUAUCACUAGGAAUACCGAAAGCGAAGGCGAUCUCCUGGAACAUAACUGACGCUAAGGCGUGAAAGCGUGGGGAGCAAACAGGAUUAGAAACCCUAGUAGUCC
rnacentral:rRNA from 1 species